GACGAACGCUGGCGGCGUGCCUAAUACAUGCAAGUCGAGCGCAGGAAAUCGACGGAACCCUUCGGGGGGAAGUCGACGGAAUGAGCGGCGGACGGGUGAGUAACACGUAAAGAACCUGCCCUCAGGUCUGGGAUAACCACGAGAAAUCGGGGCUAAUACCGGAUGGGUCAUCGGACCGCAUGGUCCGAGGAUGAAAGGCGCUUCGGCGUCGCCUGGGGAUGGCUUUGCGGUGCAUUAGCUAGUUAGUGGGGUAAUGGCCCACCAAGGCGACGAUGCAUAGCCGACCUGAGAGGGUGAUCGGCCACACUGGGACUGAGACACGGCCCAGACUCCUACGGGAGGCAGCAGUAGGGAAUCUUCCACAAUGGACGAAAGUCUGAUGGAGCAACGCCGCGUGAACGAUGAAGGCCUUCGGGUCGUAAAGUUCUGUUGUAAGGGAAGAACAAGUGCCGCAGGCAAUGGCGGCACCUUGACGGUACCUUGCGAGAAAGCCACGGCUGACUACGUGCCAGCUGCCGCAGUAA
rnacentral:rRNA from 1 species